rnacentral:rRNA from 1 species
GACGAACGCUGGCGGCGUGCCUAAUACAUGCAAGUAGGACGCACAGCCUAUACCGUAGCUUGCUACACCAUAGGCUGUGAGUUGCGAACGGGUGAGUAACGCGUAGGUAACCUGCCUAUUAGAGGGGGAUAACUAUUGGAAACGAUAGCUAAUACCGCAUAACAGUAUGUAACACAUGUUAGAUGCUUGAAAGAUGCAAUUGCAUCGCUAGUAGAUGGACCUGCGUUGUAUUAGCUAGUAGGUAGGGUAAUGGCCUACCUAGGCAACGAUACAUAGCCGACCUGAGAGGGUGAUCGGCCACACUGGGACUGAGACACGGCCCAGACUCCUACGGGAGGCAGCAGUAGGGAAUCUUCGGCAAUGGGGGGAACCCUGACCGAGCAACGCCGCGUGAGUGAAGAAGGUUUUCGGAUCGUAAAGCUCUGUUGUUAAGGAAGAACGAGUGUGAGAANGGAAAGUUCAUACNGNGACGGUACU